UACGGAGGGGGCAAGCGUUGUUCGGAAUUACUGGGCGUAAAGGGCGCGUAGGCGGACGAUCAAGUCAGGGGUGAAAGGCCUGGGCUCAACCUGGGAAUUGCCUUUGAAACUGGUUGUCUAGAGUCCGGAAGAGGAUGGCGGAAUUCCCAGUGUAGAGGUGAAAUUCGUAGAUAUUGGGAAGAACACCGGUGGCGAAGGCGGCCAUCUGGUCCGGAACUGACGCUAAGGCGCGAAAGCGUGGGGAGCAAACAGGAUUAGAAACCCGAGUAGUCC
rnacentral:rRNA from 1 species